rnacentral:rRNA from 1 species
ACAGAGGGUGCGAGCGUUGUCCGGAAUCACUGGGCGUAAAGGGCGCGUAGGUGGCCACCAUAAGGCCGCGGUGAAAGUUCGGGGCUCAACCCCGGAUCGGCCGCGGCGACUGUGGGGCUUGGGCACGGUAGAGGCAGAUGGAAUUCCGGGUGUAGCGGUGGAAUGCGUAGAGAUCCGGAAGAACACCAGUGGCGAAGGCGGUCUGCUGGGCCGUGGGAUCGUAAGGUCCCUGAAGCCGACACUGAGGCGCGACAGCGUGGGGAGCAAACAGGA